UAAGAACUAAAUUAGUAUUGUUCAUUUGGCUUGACUUAAUACGUACAUACACGUAGCCCAAUAUGGCGGCCAUGCUGACGCAUUGCUCUUUGUCUCAUUGUUUGCCACAUGAUUAAAAAAAAUGUAUGUGGACAUGAACAGUGCAUAACGAGAAAGUUGCCCUUCAAUCGGAAGGCUGGUGGUUCGAUUCCAGGCCCCUGCAGUCUACAAGUGGAAGUAUCUUCUGGCAUGACAGUGAACCCCAAAUUUCUCCCGGUGGCUCUUCCAUCGGUCUUAAGCCUUUUAUACCUUUAGUGGUCACAUCCGCUCUGCCCACUUCAACCACAGUUCCAGACAUCAGGAUGAAUCAGCUACAAUUAACAAGAAAUUCAGAACCAAAAACCAUGGCAUCCACCUCAGUUAUACGGCACAGGCCAUCAACCAACAGGACCGCAGGCAGCCUCACCCUUACCCUAACCCUUAACAGGUCUGCUUGCUUGGGUUACCUAAUCUGCCCCAGAUCUGCUGUAUGAACUCCAGAGCCUGCUCACACUUCUGGGGUUCAUCAGAGAUGUCAGCUGGCAGAGGGACAUGUGGAGAUUCUUGAGGCUGAGCUGGCGAGGGAGCUCUUGAGUUCUUAACAACUGUCCCGGAACUGAUGAGGACUCUGGCUCCACCGCUGCAGGAGGUCACAGCUUUCUUGGGGAACAGAUACUGCUGAUCCUGCAGAGAGGAACCUGAUGUUCAAAAUACAUGUUCAGAACAGUAGGACAUGCAAGAAGUAAAAGCAUGCAGAAUAACAAACUGGCCAAAGGUUCUCCCUGCUGUCCACAGUUUUACUCUCCUCACCCAAAUCUCAACCCAACUGUGACAUCCAUAGCGUGAUGGUUCAGUACGAAAACAUAUGUUGAGGUCAGGAUGCAGUAAACAAGAACACGCCUAGAGCUGGUAGGUUCUUGUGUUUUUUUCCUGGACAAAAAGCCUUUCAGGAGGUGCCAGUACAGCUGGAAUGAUUAGUAAAGUACUCUGCUAUCGUCCAAGAAGAGGAAAUUCUUCUUAAGCAAAGUGUCUUAUAAAAACAUAUAUAGAAUAAACAUAACACACAAAAAACACACAAGAUCAUUUUUACUUCUGUGUCUUUAACCUAGUUCCAUCCCUUCAAUUGUGAGGAUUGGCUGCAUUGUUUUAUGUUUUAUUUGAUGGUAAACUGCAUAUGCUUACAAAACAUGUCAUUUGAAAACAUCACCGUUGUUUUUUGUUUUUUUUACAAAAUAGCUUAACGGUUUUCCCAUCCUCGAGAGAAAAACAUGCUUUUUUAGUAACAAAAACAUUUGUAUUCUUGCAAGUUGCUGAGGUUCAAGAUUACAAGUGCAAUCUUACCCAGUCCCCAGAUAUUUAGAAGAUCAAGUGUGUUUGUUAGCAGAGCUUACUACACUACUUUUGGUGUUAGGAAGUGCUCAUGACAAGAUUUUAUGCAGGUGUCCCAUCCUGAGUUGAUUUUAGGUUUUCAGCCCUGGUCCAUCACUGACAUAAAUCCAUUAUUCCCCCAACUGUCUUGCGUGAGUGUCAGUGGGUACAUGGCAGAAACUUUCUGGCAGCAGUCAAACACACUGAGCAGAUGUCCAAUAUUAUGCAUGGAUAAUUUAAGUCGCUCUUGUCAGGUGCUUAUGACUAUUACUAUUUUAUUUCUCUUAAGCGGGAAAAAGGCAGAGCGGCUUUCACAGUCUUGUUAGCAGAUGACGUCUGAGGUUUUCUCAUAGCUGCUCCCCUGUGGCCCCCCACGUUUUACUGUGAGAUGGAGUGUGUGAUGGCCCUAUGGGAAAGCCAUUAGCCACUGGUAGUCUCUCUCGUUCUUUCUCUCUGCCCCCACCUCUUCCCUCUGUUUCUGCAGAGAUGUGGUAAAGACACACACACACAUCACAUUCACAUGCACAAACCACUCGAGACCGUUAGCGGCUGUCAGGGUUGUUUUGUUUUGACCAGCUCCCAUAAGUCCAGUGGAGUCUGUAAAUCUCUACAAUCUUGGCAGGAAAGCCAUUUGUGGGCGGUCGUACUGAGCUAGUUGCUUAAUGCUCACAUUGAGGGACAGUCACCGAGAGGGCAACUGGAGGGCACAAAGGAUAUAAUGAGUAAACCAACAAAUGACCAAAUCAAUGCCUAAAUUCAGACAUACAUAGAUGUUUGGAUUUUCCAGUUCAUAUUUGUGCAAACUGCUUGAAAAUGUAUGACCUGUCAGAUGUGAUAUUGAACAUAAUGAUUUAACCAGACUUAUAGGUACAGUGUUGUCAUGGAUGAACCAGUCUUCCUCUACUUGAGCUCGAGUUUCUCCCAAUAUAGCCUAAUUGGCACACACACACACACAAACUCACACACACACACACAUCUUCCGUAAUUAACUGUGCAUACCGCUGCUGGACUAUUAAUGUGAUGCAUGCCCUCUUAUCUUUUGUCCAUUCGCUCAUUUUUCAGACACCUAUGUAUACCAUUUGUGUGUGUGUGUGUGUUAGCACAGUAGCACAUAAUCAUCAUCAUGUUAUCUUUCUUUUUCCACACAUCUGUACUAAUUUCCAUUGACGUAAUUAAUUACCAUGGUGAUGAACAGCACGCCGACCCAACCCAUCGUCACACACCGCGCGCAAUUAUAAAGCACCAUUAUCUUGUAGGGAGAUGUCACUCAGAAUAGCACAAAAGCCAAAAAUAGCAUAAGCUGUUGGAGCAUGCCACAGGAUGGAGAGACUGUAUUCACUGGAAAAUGCUGAAACACCUAAAACGGUGCACAGACAGACAGAUUAGGGCUACAACUCACUAUUAUUUUCAUUAUCAAGGGUAAGGCAGUCGAUUCUGCAGAAUGAUAGUUGAUUAUUUAUUCUCAUUCCCAGGUCAUUAAAAAUUGUCGGUAUUCACCUUAAAGUUCUAUCAGUAAAGUGUUAGUAUUUGAAAGCCUGGGGAUGAGAUUCAACAAUCAACUGUCUUCUCCAAAAAAAUGCCCUUCCUACCUUUUAAUCUAUUAUAAUUUAAAUUAAUCAGUUCAUCAUUUGGUCUAUAAAACAUAAGAAAAUAGUGACAAUACCCUAGUUUCUCAACGCUGACAUAUUUAGAUAUUUUGUUUUGCCAGCACUCAAAGAUGAAAUCUCAGUAUUUGAAAGGCCAAAAAAAGCAUUUUUGCCACAUUUGUAAAUGAUAUAAUAAUAAUGAUUACUUUAUUGAUGAAUUGAUUAUCAGAUGUGGUGAUUAUUUUAUUAAUUCUAUUUAACGACUAGUGGAAUAAUCAUUGCAGCUCCGACAGAUGCAAACGUCAUCGAAUGCUGCUGUGUGGAGAUCAGUACUCCCCCAUGGGUGACCCUGAAAGAGCAGAUCCAGUGUGGGUGUGAGCCACUGUAAAAGGGUUGGAUUUUCCCCUGAGAAUUCAGAAAUCCUUUAGCAUGCUGGUGCACAAACACACUUCCCUCAACUCAAGAAACGUCCUUUAAAUUUUAUGUGUUCCUGCGCGCAAGUUCUCACGUAAAAAAAAAAAAAGAAGAGCUUUUUAAAUCUCUCAACCCCUCGUGUCUCUCUGAAAGACAGUGAAUGUACAUACUGUACGAGUAUUCCCAUUAGGUUGGAGAGAGUUUUCAAAGUGUCGGCUACAUAGCAGCAGAUGAAUAAUGCAGAGGAAAUAAAAGGCUUUUUUUUCUGCGCAGCAGCUACAUGAGCUAUGAUACCUCAGAUGUAAAGUUGUAAACUGAUGUUAACCUCAAAACGUCUGCCUGGCUUUGCAUCUCUGCUGUGUGACUUUUGAGUGACUCCUGGCAUCCACAGCGAUGAUAUGUAGUGUUUGUUAUGAGUUAUUCAGAGCAGUCAUUUUACCUAAUUGAGGCAAAUAAAAGCCUGCAGAGUAUAGGAGCGCAAGUGAAGCAGGCUGUGUGGCACAUCCAUUCACUGUUGUCAGAAAUUAAUGUAUUUCACAUUAAAGCGAGAUAUAUUUAAUUAAGGGUUAAUUUCAUAUAUAUAUCGUCCAUUUGAUAUCCUGUCAUAUUUUUCUAUUUCAGUUCCUCCCACCUCCUCCCCCUUUAACUUCCUCUCAUUUGCUCUUCUUUGACUUACUCCCGAAGCCAUUUUUUCCUCUCUCAUUGCUGUACAACCACCCUCCCUGCCCCCCGGAACAGCACAUGCAAGUCAGGGUUUUUAAUGUAUAAAUUCAGCUGGUGCGUUAUCAUUUCCAUUCACGUCCUUUCCUAAUCCCUGCCUCUCUCUGUCUUUGUCAGCAGAAUAUAGAGUUGGGCCCUCGGUGUGUAAUAAGCACAGUUCACAUACAACCACAUGUCAGAAAAGAAAAAAGGAGAGCGAGAGAGGAAAAAAAAAAGAUGACAGAGGAUUCAAAAUGACUCGAAGAUCGAGCGGUAAAUCAUGAAUAACUAAUAGCAUGUUCAUAUUCUGGCGGUUCGCUCGCGGCGUCAUCAAUCACGAACCCUGUCUUUUCACUCCGCUGUGGCUUCAUUAGGCUGAUAAUGGACUCUGGGCUGUGUGUCAACCAGGCAAUAUCUGCUUCUAUUCAAACUGUGAUUAAAUAACCUCUCUGAGCAGCCAAACUCACUCUGAAGUGGCUUUGCCCCGUAUAAUCUAGCUGAUAAAUGCCUUUCAUUGCAACUUGUGGGUUUACUGUACAAUACUGCAGUUUUCUCAGACAUGACUUCGGAUUUAUUGCAAAAAACAGUGAUUGUUAAUUCACACAAUUUAAUUACGCUAUAUACAAAUGAUAUUUUAAUAUGUAUAGACAGUGUCAGACUCAUAUCAAUCACUUUUUAAGACCAAUUGUUGGUAUCUCAUUUUGCAAUAAAACGUAAAAGUACCUUUGCUAUGUCACGGACGUAAAAUAUUGAUAAAUGUAUUAAAUCUGUUACCGGCAGACAGAGCUGUUACAUAAUCUACCAAUCUUUCUGUCUCCUCCCAUAACCCUGCAACAAAUCACAACCCUAUACUCUUUCAGGUGAUAAGCUGAUUAGUGAGACAACAACCUCCUGCCACAGACUGACACACAGCGGGAGGUCUGAUGAAGCUGAGCCAAACCCUCCGCAGUUUGAUUCUGUUGUCAGUCUGAGGAUUCUGCUGAAGAUUAAACUACUACGACUUUCCCAAAAUCAUUUUAAUGCUGACAUCAGAUUCAUCCCUGGACAUGACGAGAAUAAAGCACUUCUUUUUCCUAGUAAGCAAAUGUCUGUGUUUUUGUAGCUUAAACUGACGGCUGGUUGUAUGCUGCUUGUGCGUGGGGACCGGUGUAAUGGACCACAGAGGUCACGAUUUGGUGCAUACCUCGGUACUCAGGUCACGGUGCGGCUGUGACUCAGAAGUGAGAGUCCAGAAAUCCGAAGGUCACUGGUUUGAGUCCCCUCGAAUUGCUGCUGCUGAGCAGGUUGGCACCUCGCAUGGCAGCCUCUGCCAUCAGGGAAUGAAUGUGCAUGUGUGAAUGUGAAAAGUGUCGUUUUUGAGGUCAGCAGACUGGAAAAGCAUAUAGAACUGCAUGGUUAAGGUCAGGUCUCUUGUCAUUUAUUAUCACUGGACAAAAAUAUACAUUAUAGUUUGUUCCACCAAGUGUCAACCUACUUCCACCAUAUACAGUUGUUACAGCGUGUAGUGUGUUCAAUGCAGGGUUGAUACAAAAUCCGAAUUGUCUGGAUAAUGUCUUUGGCCCUCUUUCUUUUCAUAUGUGGAGGCAGCUUUAAAAGAACAGCAAGGAAAAAUUAUUAGACGGAUGUAGUAUCAGAGCAGCAGCAGAGGAGUCACGGCAUCUGUGUGAAUGGAAAAGCCGUAGGCAUGGCUCAGGGGUGUGUCGGUCUGAUGGUGUUCACAGUCUGAUAAGUAGACAGAUCCUGAACAUAGGACCAAACAACAGUGGCACAGCAACUGCUCAUGUCUUCAGCAACUUAUAUGAGGAGAAAAAGCAAUGCAUCACUCAAGUCAUCCUGUCUGUCCUACCAACUCUUUGUCACAUUUCUGCCCAAAAAACAACGUCCGUACCUGGUCGCAAAAAAAUUUAACUCACCAUGUCUUUGUCGCCUUCCACUGUUAUUGUAAUUACUACUGUCUGUUAUUGUAGCUACUGUCUCCAGCAGCUUGUAAUAGCUUUAAGCCGGCGCUGCUUGGUUCAGUGUGAACAAACCAGGGCCGUGUAAAGUCAAGCCUUGGUUGCGGCGAAAAUGCAGAGGAAAAAGGUCUUUUUAUAAUCUUGUUUUAUUCUGUCUUAUUCUUCUUAUUCUUCUGAUGUCUAAUGGUGGCUGGUUAAACAGCUUUUGACAACUCUGAGUGUGGAUCAGAACGAUUAUACUGUCACCCACUGACAUUAGGCUCUCACCAUAGCGUGAAAUAUAUAUUCUGCAAAUAACUGCAUGUAUCAAAUCCUGUCAUUUCUGGAUGAAUAAAUGUACCGUUACUCCCUAUGUACACAUUUUAUACAUCAUAAUGACAUGUUAAGUCAACCACAUACAUUCUAUCAUUUGAGGUAAAUAAACGCUAACCUGAUCUAGA